UACGAAGGGUGCAAACGUUAUUCGGAUUAAUUGGGCGUACAGGGUGCGCAGGCGGUAUGUUAAGUCAACUGUUAAAUCUCCCAGCCUAACUGGGAAUCAGCGGUAGAUACUGGCAUGCUAGAGGGUGGAAGAGAGAAGUGGAAUUCUUGGAGUAGCGGUAAAAUGCGUAGAUCUCAAGAGGAACACCGAUGGCGAAGGCAGCUUCUUGGUCCACAUCUGACGCUCAUGCACGAAAAGCGUGGGGAGCAAACAGG
rnacentral:rRNA from 1 species